rnacentral:rRNA from 1 species
AGCUCUAAUAGCGUAUAUUAAAGUUGUUGCAGUUAAAAAGCUCGUAGUUGGAUUUCUGGUGUGAGGGAACGGUCCGACCUCUGGUGGGUACUUGCUUCCUCUCACGCCAUCCUUGAGUGGUGCGUUCUGGCAUUCAGUUGUCGGGACGUUAGCCGCUCAUCGUUUACUGUGAGAAAAUUAGAGUGUUCAAAGCAGGCUUAUGCCGUUGAAUAUAUUAGCAUGGAAUAAUAAGAUAGGACUUCGGUACUAUUUUGUUGGUUUGCGCACCGAUGUAAUGAUCAAUAGGGACAGUUGGGGGUAUUCGUAUUCAGUUGUCAGAGGUGAAAUUCUUAGAUUUACGGAAGACUAACUACUGCGAAAGCAUUUACCAAGGAUGUUUUCA